AGCAAAGUGACUCAGAUACAUCGAUAUAGACGGGCAGCCCAGGUCAGGAAGCCAGAGAAACUUACUUGCCCAGAGACAAACAACCGGUGGAUGAAGGAGCUACCAUGUGAUAAGUCACACUUGACUCCAGGAAUCCCAUCCGCUCCUUGGGCACAGUGAUAACUGCCCACUCUCUGAGGCCAUGAGGACCAGGACCAUAGGGCAUCACCCCCAGGACCUGACACGCAGAUGCUCAACAAUUCUAUUACAGCCUGCAGAAGCAUUUUUCUUUAUUGCUGAUUAAGGUGUACAUAUUUAGAAAUGCAUGCAUUUCAUUUAUA
ensembl:lncRNA